GAUAAACGCUGGCGGCGUGCCUAAUACAUGCAAGUCGAGCGGACUUGACAGAGCUUGCUCUGUUCAAGUUAGCGGCGGACGGGUGAGUAACACGUGGGCAACCUGCCCUGCAGAUUGGGAUAACUCCGGGAAACCGGGGCUAAUACCGAAUAACAUGGAAAACCUCAUGGUUUUCUUUUAAAAGGCGGCUUCGGCUGUCACUGCAGGAUGGGCCCGCGGCGCAUUAGCUAGUUGGUGAGGUAACGGCUCACCAAGGCGACGAUGCGUAGCCGACCUGAGAGGGUGAUCGGCCACACUGGGACUGAGACACGGCCCAGACUCCUACGGGAGGCAGCAGUAGGGAAUCUUCCGCAAUGGACGAAAGUCUGACGGAGCAACGCCGCGUGAGUGAAGAAGGUUUUCGGAUCGUAAAACUCUGUUGUUAGGGAAGAACAAGUACCGGAGUAACUGCCGGUACCUUGACGGUACCUGACCAGAAAGCCACGGCUAACUACGUGCCAGCCGCCGCGGUAAGAC
rnacentral:rRNA from 1 species